rnacentral:rRNA from 1 species
ACGGGUGCGUAACGCGUAUAGAACCUACCUUUUACUGAGGGAUAGCCCAGAGAAAUUUGGAUUAAUACCUCAUAGUAUUAUUGAGUGGCAUCAUUUAAUAAUUAAAGGUUACGGCAAAAGAUGAGUAUGCGUACCAUUAGUUUGUUGGUAAGGUAACGGCUUACCAAGACUACGAUGGUUAGGGGUCCUGAGAGGGAGAUCCCCCACACUGGUACUGAGACACGGACCAGACUCC